rnacentral:lncRNA from 1 species
CUUGGCAUUGAUACCCUUGCUUUCCGAAUCCCCUGCGACAAAGAGCACAUCGCAGAUUAAUUGGAAAAUACGCCGUACUUGAGGAAACCGCUGGCCGAUACUUGAGUGAUAUGCCGAACGGCACAGUGCAAACUAUUUUUAGAUGUCCGCACGUACAUCGUCAAAGCAGCCGUCUUUUACGAUAAAUCGAAACUCUUCGAUUAUUACUACGCUGUCUGAGAGCGAAUGUUCUCGAUAAAACGUGUGUUUGUGGCUGCUUUGUUUCCUCAAGACAUAUUUGUUUCAUUUAUGUUUUAAAAACUUUACCAAAGGAAAUCCUUGCAAAAGGCGCAGAAGGGGACACAGAUGCAGCCGCGAUAUCCCGUCGGGGAACCCUGGUUUUAUAUACAUAUGUUUUCCCUGUGGACGUUGUCGGCGAUAUUCUAGUUAUUUCAGUUGUAUUCUAAACUUCGCUUGUGAAUUUGGAAGUGUAAACUUGCAAUUUGCCAAUGCUAAUUCUAAAUCAAUUAAAUUUUCAUACGAAGGUAUUUUAUCUGGAGGGAUUGAUUAACAACAGAAGAUAACAUCGAACAGUCAUGGAACAUUCAACAAGCUUUACCUACCGAAUGGCUCACCUGUAAG